UCCGGCUUAUCACCGGCAGUCCCUCUAGAGUGCCCAACUAAAUGAUGGCAACUAAAGGCGAGGGUUGCGCUCGUUGCGGGACUUAACCCAACAUCUCACGACACGAGCUGACGACGGCCAUGCAGCACCUGUGUCCUAGUUCUCUUUCGAGCACUUCCACAUCUCUGCGGAAUUCUAGGCAUGUCAAGGGUAGGUAAGGUUUUUCGCGUUGCAUCGAAUUAAACCACAUCAUCCACCGCUUGUGCGGGCCCCCGUCAAUUCCUUUGAGUUUUAGCCUUGCGACCGUACUCCCCAGGCGGCAUAUUUAACGCGUUAGCUCCGGCACAGACCAAAUGAAUGGCCCACACCAAAUAUGCAUCGUUUAGGGCGUGGACUAC
rnacentral:misc_RNA from 1 species